GGUGAUGAAUAUAUGAUUUGUGUAUGUAAAAUAGACUUUGGCAUACUAUAUUUGGUUUGAUAGAUGAUGUGUGUAUGUGUAGAUAAUCCUAUUGUUGGCAUACUAUUGUUGGCAAAAAAAUUUAUGCAAAAGAGAUGAUGAAAUUUUCUUAUUGUGUGUGACAUGAUUUGUUCAAUAGAAUGGCGGAUGAUGAUAAUGAAAUAUAUUUGAUGGUGAAAUUUGGUACUCUAGAUGAUAUGUGUGCAUAUGUAGAAGAAAGAAAUGAUGUGGUUAUGUUUGAGAAGAAUGGUGUUUUCAUAUGGAAUAAACUUGGAGAAGGAAAUUGUUUGAUAUUGUUCAUGUAUUCAUAGAUGUUUGUGAAAUUUUUUUGUAGGAUGGCGGAUGGUGAUGGACCUUGGUAUGACGGAUUAAUCGAUGAGUGGGAUAAGGAGCAUCGUGCUCGUGCCAUUGAAAAUGGACAAGUUGUAGUUGCUAUGCGCAUGAGGGGUCAUUCCGCUGAUGACUUUGAUUACGACCCGCGGUAUGAGCCUUACAUUCGGAGAUUGGGUCUUCUCCCAUUCGUGUUGCAGUUUAAGCGACGCGCUCCGCCGGUGAACCACGCGGCGCUGACCGCACUUGUGGAUCGUUGGAGGCCGGAGACUCACUCCUUCCACCUUCCAUGUGGGGAGAUGACGAUGACCCUACAGGACAUGGCUAUGAUAAGCGGCCUUCCUAUCAAUGGACAAGCUGUUACCGGUCAUGUCAGCGUGGGUAACUGGCGAGAACAGACUGCCGAUUUAAUUGGCGUUCAGCCCGAGGGCCCUCAGGAAGGCAAGGCCGAUACAGCGAAAGUGAGGCAUUCUUGGCUAAAACUGGUCAGAGGAAACACCAACCCGUGCCCUCAGGAUGCCAAUGACGUGGUUGUGUAGCAGUACGCGCGGGCCUAUCUUUGGUAUGUACUAACCAAGGUAGUCUUCUCAGAUGCAACCGGGAACUCAGCCCUCUGGAUAUUCUUGGAGCCACUUAAUAACUGGGAUACCCAGUAUAGCUGGGGUUCGGCCGCACUAGCAUACUUGUAUCGUCAGCUUGACUUGGCGUGUCGGAGGAAGGGAGGUACAUCCUCAUUGUCU